CAGCUGCCAGGAGCCCACUGGGCAGGGGUGAGGGCUCAGGAGGCAGGGCGGGUGUGUCAGUUACUCUGGCCUUGAGAGGAAUCACGCGAGUUUGUUUCCUGACCAAAAGUUCAAAUACCAAGCUUCCCAGGACAAAACUGGUCUGACAACCGGAGACACACGACAACUGCCAGCUUGACCAUGGCGCACCAGCUGUUCUCCUCCCACCUUGGGGUAAAGAGCAACAGGUGGACCUCGGUCCACCCGACCCCCAUCCUGCAGCAUCACAGACAAGUUCAGCCAUUGUCCAGUGGCUGACGCCUGGCUUCGAACCUCAGGCCCACCUCCCACCCCCCGUCCUCUCCUCUCCCAUGUCUCUUCUGAUUCAGAAAUGUCUCUUUGAUGCUUUCAUUCCCAUGUCUGUACGACCCCCCAUCAGCACACAGCUCCUCCGUGGCCAUUUCAGGAAGCAGCGUUGCAUGGGGCUUCAGCGCCCAGGCUCUGGAACCAGAAUGCCUGGGUUAGGGUUCCAACUCCUUAACCAACUGAACGCAGAACGCUGAGCAAUUCACUUACGCUCUCUGCGCCCGCGGUCUCACUGGACAAAUGGGUUGAGGGAAGACUGAGUGACACAAAUGUGGCCUUUGCUUGGAAUGGGUGCUACCCCAUAACCAGUGCUCAGUAGCUGUUAGUGACUAUUGCGACCCCUUUGUCUUACUGAUUUGCUUCUGCUUCGCACCCCAUGGUCUGUGCUUUAGGCCCACUCUUGGUUAAAAGUUAAUCACCAGAUAACCACCCACCCUCACCGUGGGCGAACUGUCAGAACGGAAUAGUAAUCGCGCAUGGUUGUAGCUAAGGAACAGAUCAAUUUUAGAGCUCAUUAUGACAGUGAGCUAAAAAUCAUCUUCUGUUAAGAGAUUUGUGAGCAGAAAGGCUGAAAUGAACGGAUGAGGAGGAGCCCACAAAUGGGGAAACACCGUGAACAGAUGUGGAGCGCUAUUAGAUGCUGGCUGUAAACCUGACACGGCCCUUGGGAGGCGGGUCCUGUACCCUGAGUCACUCAUUUUCCAUAAUCCUAGAUGAGAAUUCGCUGCGUCUGUAAGAACUUCAUGCCCACAGCCGUCGCUGGGGACCCGGAUCGCUCACCGAAUCCUUCCCCCUGUUCCAGCCAGGGUCCUCCUGUUCUCACAUUACCGGCAACGAAGACAUGGAUGGGGCUCGACGUCUUAAUAAGUUCCCAUCACACACUCAGAGGCUUCUGAUGUUUGUCACCACCAGCUCCGCCAGGAACAAGCCCUGUCCCUCUCACCUCUUGCCACAGGCUUAAUGUUUAUUAGCUCUGCGGCCUUCAUUUUCUCUUCUUUGGGAUCUUUGCAUCCCUGCUCAGUGGAUGAGACAGGAGCCCCAGGUGGAACAUCUAAUCCGCGAUUAGAAAGCUAGCAAGUGGAGAAACUGUAGACAUUUCUAGAGCCUUCCAACCACCACCCUUUCCACUUCCUUGUACAGGUCUACGUUGGGCGUCUUCUUUCCGGUUACCCAGACUCCAUGCUCCCCACCUCCCGGUAGUCGCAGCCCUUCCAUCCUGGUGCCUCCAGAAGAAUUCUUUCCUCCCACCUCACUCCCUUCUGCUCUGUUCUUCUCAAGUCUGAGCUCCUUGGAUGCAUGCAUCUGAUAAGCUAAUUCUCCAUAAAGUGCUAAUAAAUAAUAGUUUGGAAGACGCUUUUAGCACCGACAUUGUCCUCGACAAAAUGUCCAAACUCUCCCAAGCGGAGUGGGUUACUCUGUCUUUCGUGUCGCCUGCUACCAUGCCUACCUGCCUCCUGGGGCUUCUGUCUCAUGAAACUUUAUCACACAGCAUGGCAGGGUGGCCAAGAGCACGAAUGCUGGAGCCAAACUGCCCAGGCUGGCACCCUCAUUCUUAAUUGUCCUUGCUGUAUGACCUGGGUGACUUAAUUGUCUUUGUUCCUCAGCUUGCUCAACUAUAAAAGGAGGAUGAUAAUAUUAUCUGACUCAAGGCUGUUGUGAGGGUGGGAUGACUUAAUGUGUCUAGCACACACACCCUUUCCCCGGCACAUAAGCACCAACCUCACCAGCCUUCCAUAGUGGCACGACUCUCUCCUCUGCUACGCCGUGUUUUCUUCAUCUUCACAUCCCCAGGGCUCAACAGAGUGCCUUGCAUAUAGGAGGCGCUCUCAUAAGUGCUCUUGGACAGCAAGUGCGUGAGUUGUAGAGAAUUCAAGCUUAAAACAUGGGUAGGAUUUACAAGCAGACCUGGUUGAAGACCCUAUAUCCCACAGAUUGCUAGGAAAUGCCAAAAACCCAAGGAGCCCCAGCCAGGGAAGCUAAGUGCCCCAGAUGUAAACAGGACACAGGUCAUUUGACCUCCCUAAGGGGUUGGGGCAUAGAGACCCAGCUUGAAGCCUUGAUGAUUGCUCGUAAAUAAUUAAGGUUUGUUAAGAAGAUAAUAAACUGUCUCUUGAGAGCUGACCGGAAAGUAAUACAUCCAAGGAAGAUAAUGAAAUGCUUGAUGGAACUGGCUGCUUGAGGCAUACACAGCACAUUAUGGGAACCCUUGGGAAACUGGCAGUAAUGCUUCCACUUAGGAAAAUCCAUUUGCUCAGUGAAACCGCGUUCUUAAGGAGGCCAGAAGGGACCCCGCCUGCCCCAGGAGUAGACACAUGUUCUGGUGUUGAGAAAGUGCAGGACUCUGGAGAGAGUGGGCACUUCACAUCUGCAGGUUGAUUUUUUUCACAAAGCAGUGCUUUGUCCCACCUCCCCAGGUGGGAAUGGCCUCUGUGGACUCCCCAACUGGCAGCUGGGGCAGGAGAGAUCCAGAGGCAACUUGGGGGGGAGGUUAGAAAUCAAUGAAAGCGUGUUGAACUGUUUGUUCAACAUGGAUCUUUAAGAAUCUAUCAAUUCCGAUCAAUUCAAUGACUUUUCCCUAAGGCCCUAGUUUAGUGCAAUGCACCGGGAAAUGAUCACCAGUAUAUUCAUGCCUGCCUCCUCGGGGAGCUCGCUGGGGUCAUGCCAGGUACCUAUCUAUCUAUCUAUCUAUCUAUCUAUCAUCUAUCUAUCUAUCUAUCAUCAUCUACAGUUGACACGCAAUAGUAUAUUAGUUUCAGACGUACAACAUAGCAAUUCAACACUGAUAUACCUUAUGAUGUAGUCACCACAUUAAGUCUAGCAGCCACCAGUCACCAUGCAUGCUUACCACGAUAUUAUUGACUAUAUUCUUCACCCCUCCCCCACACCUGCCC